NNNNNUAUUUAUAAGUAGAUCCAUUGUUAUACCUUUUCUUAGUUGCUAUUUUUAUAUUCUUAUUGAAUAUAAUACGAUAUUGUAUGUCAAAAAAGAAUACAUACAAAUUUUUAUAGAAGUGAUAGUUGAUUUAUUGCUUUAUAAAGAAUAUAUGAUAAUUGAUAGUAAUAAAAGUUUCACUUAUGAAUCGUUUAGAAUAUGUAAAAAAACUGGAGCACUAAAUUGCAACAACAAUGGAAACAACAAUGGAAACAACAAUGGUAAUAAGAAAGAAACAAAUUACAUAACAGAUGAUAACAUUUGUUCCUCCUUUUUUAAACACAUAAACAAUUACAAUUAUAUUACUAUAUCUAAUAAAAUAUAUUCAACCCAACAGACAUCUGUUUUUUUGAGACUAUUAACCUUAUUAUUUUUAACAAGCCUAUUUAAAAAAAUGAGUAAAAAAUAUCUAUAUUUUAAUAAGUUAAUACAAAAUAAAAAAGAAAAAAUCGAAUUUUGUAAGAAAAGGAGUGUAGUCAUAAACAUAUACGGACAUUUACUUGUAGAGAUAAUAAAAAGAUUAAAUAAUCAUUCAGUGUAUAUACAUGCCACAGGUGGUAAUAACAAUACUAAUACAUCUGUUAAUACAGAAACAAAACAUUUAAGUCCUCCAUUACCAACUUCUUUCGGAAGUAAUCUUCAAACCAGGGGGUGGCAAUCUCUUUGUUGUCUUUCCAAAUAUUUUCAAUAUUUAAGUAAACCAAAAAAAAAAAAAAUUAUUUUUUUAGUAAACAAUAUUCUGCAUGAACAAAAUAUCAAUAAUACAGUGCAAUAUAUAAUUAUAUUUUUAUCAUGUAUAUGUGAAUCAUCUUUUGUUUUGGUAUAUCCAUAUUUGAUUAAAAAUAUAUCAGAGCAAAACGACAAGAUGCAAGUUACUAUAAGUUCUUUAAUUGUAUGUUCGUACGUUUUGUUGAAAACCAAAUAUGCUUACUACUCUUUGGGCAGGUUAACUCGUCUCCCAUUUGGGGAGUUGUACUUGGUUCGAAAUGGCACGGGUAAUAACGUUAGAACUAGAACGCGUAAUAAUUUUAGAACUAUAACGCGU
rnacentral:lncRNA from 1 species